ACACAAAUUAAUGAAUAUACCUAAACUACCAUGUAGAGAUAAGGCUUAAUAUAGAAAACAUUAUCAUUUUCCACAUAAUAAAACCAUCUAUAACAUUUGCAUUGUUACGAAAGUGCCAAGGUAAACUGCCUUCCCAAAAGAUACAGCAUAACUUGAUCCCAUGCUCAUUUCUUAUAUUUUCUUAAGUCAAAUAUGACGGCAAUACUAAUGCUUCUGUCAAGAUGACUCUUACUAUAUAUACAGGGUAUAUGCUCACCCUUAAGUUUCAUAAGGUAUUGAAAUACUUUGAGUUCUCUCAUUCCCGGUCCAAGAGACUAGAACCAUAAUAAAAAACAGUUUCUGUUCCAACCUCCACUGCUUGUGGACAUCUUGGCAUGUUUGUACACAUUAACUUCUUUCAAUAUUAUAUUAGUCACUUAAAAACAUUUUAACUGGUGUAAAGUUAUUCAUAAAACCGAGAAAAUAAGACACAUUGCUCACCUGUAAGAUGGAAAUUAUAAAUCAGCUUUUGCCUAUCAAUAUGAAGACUGAAUAUGGUAGUAUAAAGCAUAGGAUAUAGCCAAUGAAUCAAUAUUUCUUCUCUAUAUUUACCCACAUGUACUUACUUUUAUAUCUUAAAGAAAAGGGAAAUGUUGGCACAUAAGCUAAUCUUACUCUAAUUUUUAUUUUGUAUAAAUUAAAUAUUUAGUCACAGUAUUUGCUGUGAUAAAUAUACAUUUAUAUUAAGUGAAAAAAUUUGAAGUGUUACUGCACUAUCUCAUGGGGUAGCUAAGAGCAAAGAUAACCAUACAUGUUAAUGUUUUGUGUGAAUUUUAUACUAUCACCAAUACUUCUCUUUACUACAUGUCAAGCCCACACUGGCUGUGAUUGGGUAAAUCAAACUUAAUGCAAGGAUUGUAGACUCACCUUCAAAUGAUAAAGAUUUUGGUUUCCAUCAUUAAAUUAUUCAAAAUGGGACAGGAGAGGGACACAUCAAGCUAAGAAUCUUUCAUUAAGUUUACAAAUUGGGAAAAGGUUUCAGAAGUGCUUGUUUUGUCCAAGAAAAAAUUAUUUAUUUAAACUCAAUGUUAAGUGGAACUUGGGCUCAGAUAGCAUUUUUUCCUGAGUAAAUACCAUUGAAAUAUACUUUAAGGGAGAAAAUAUGUGUUAUAACUAAUUACAUCAAACAUAUAGUCCUGAACUGCAUGCAAAAUCCUUUAAAAACCUUGCAAGAGUCUUUUGUGAAGUCUUAUGUACCUGACUCUUUCCUUCUCCUAAUUUUUCUAUCUUAACGAUAAAUUUUCAAAGUUCUUCCUGGUAAUUUUACAAAGAGCUUUGCAAAGUUCUUUCACAUGUAAGUAAUCAUCAAAAUAUCACAGACUGCACAUACUCCACAGUUGGAAAAUGAGCUAGUAAUUGCCGAAAAGAGGACCUGAACCCCAGUGUUUUGUUUUGUUUUUUCAUAUUCAGUGGAAGAUUUUUGAUUUAUAAGUCAUUGAAUGUAAUCAUAAAUGCUAAAAUGUACAUAUAUAAUUAAUAGUAUAGGAUUUAUUUAGGGAAAAUAAAUUCUAGAGUGAUUGAAAGUGUUAUUUAUCCAGGAAAUGAUUAUUUAGCAUGUGAAGUUUAAGUAUAUCAGCACAUCCUGCCAGAAUGAGCUCAAAACCUCAAUUUUUUAGUGGAAAUACUAAUAGAACACCAGUCAACCUUUUCUGAUAUCCAUCCAAAUUUGAAUGUACAAUAAAAAGAAUAAAACAAAAUGAUGUCGAUUGCUAAUUAGGUACCUCUUUGAAUUCCGGAGUUAGUCAUACCUGCAAAUUUGAACAUAGAGCAAUGAUAAAGUGUGCUUCAUAACAAAAUUAAAAAUCCAUAUCCUGCUCAAAGUAGGUUAUAGGUUUCAGUGGGCCUAAAAUGAAGAGAAUAUUUACUACCAAGUAGGGGCAUAAACCAAGAACUCUUGGAUAUUGGUUGCAGAAAUAGACCCAAGGUAGCCAGGAGUCUGAUAUGUGAAGAAAAACUGGGGCUAAUAACCCUCCAUACAAAGGAAGAAUCAUGAGUUGAGUCUUGGUUGAUUUCUGGCUUAGGAUUUAGGAUGUAUGAAGCUGUGGAAAUGAGCAGAUAGCUAACCACCAGGUAUGGUUGGAACUGUCCAUCAGCACAAAGUCUGAACCUACAAUGCUCCCAAUAUUUCCCUGAAACAUGAGCCAGCAGUACCCAGUGUCAGAAUUAAUUGUAGACUGGGGCCCUGCUGGAAGGUUUGAAAUGGGCCAAGUAAGGAGGAGAGGGUUGGGAAUGGGAAGACUCUUCCACUUAAGAUUAGCCUACAAAUGAACAUGAAGUAGCUUCUGGUUAAUUCAAAAAGGAUUUAUGAGGAUAAGAUUAACUUCAAGGAGCUAGCCUGUUGAUCUCUUUGAGUAAUGAUUAUGAUAGAGGAAGUCUUUGACCACUGUUCUUCACGUAAGCAUCAAUCCUCAAGGUACUUAGAGCCUUCAGAUCCUGUCACCCUAGAUUAAUUCUUCUAGGAUCUUGAGAUUAGUUUGAAAAAAACUACUUGUUUUCUUCUUUGUCUUCUUUUGUCUAAGAAUAGCCUAUGGUUUUACAUAUGCCGACCACAUUUAAAUACCUUUUUCAAAUAUCUUUCAUCAAAAAACAAAGGAUAUAUGAGAAUUAUAGUAAUAUAUAUACCUGCUUUCCCAGAAAAACAAAAAGUGGGCUGAGGCUGAUAAAAUUUUAAUAUAGUUGUCUCACGUUCAUUUCAUCUGCCUUGCAUAAAUUUGCUUGUGCUUAUAAAAUAAAUUGAUGCCGUGGCUUGAAAAUUUGGUAAUAUGGACUUAAAAAAAUUUUUUUAACGGAAUAUUUUUCCUUUAUCAGGGAGCAAAUACACAAGCCCAUAAUGAUAAGCUGUGUUAUGAAAUAAAAGUUUUAUCAUACACAUUUCAUUUUUGAUGUUGCUGCAAAGAAAUAUUCUCAGUCAUACUGAUGAAUAUUUGUAUUGGGGAGAAAGUGUUUCAGCAGAUAAACUGCAGAUGGAGGUCCUAGGAAUAUCUGUAUUGGAAAUGAAAUUUUUCAAAUAGGAGCUUUCCAGGCUAUGUUUGC
rnacentral:lncRNA from 1 species